rnacentral:rRNA from 1 species
CACCGCGGUUAUACGAGAGGCCCUAGUUAAUGGACACGGCGUAAAGGGUGGUUAAGGUCUAAUUCUAAUAAAGCCAAAAGACUUCUUGGCCGUCAUACGCCCCUGAAUGCCUGAAACCCGCACACGAAAGUAGCUUUAACAUCAGCCCACCUGACCCCACGAAAACUGAGAAA